rnacentral:ribozyme from 1 species
UUGCCUUCCUUUUACAUCACUCUCUGAUUAUCUUCACUCUCUGAAGGCUGUGUGUUGUGCAACAUCAAAAGCUCUCUCAGAUGGGAAAGAAGAAGGGGGAAAAGGAUUAAUGGUUUAUCUUGCUGCUGCUGUGAGUGAUUUUUAUGUUCCUUAUGAAGAACAAGCAACACAUAAAAUACAGUCAAGAGACGUCGG